CGCCGCCGCGGUAAUACAGAGGGUGCGAGCGUUAAUCGGAUUUACUGGGCGUAAAGCGUGCGUAGGCGGCUAAUUGAGUCGGAUGUGAAAUCCCCGAGCUUAACUUGGGAAUUGCAUUCGAUACUGGUUAGCUAGAGUGUGGGAGAGGAUGGUAGAAUUCCAGGUGUAGCGGUGAAAUGCGUAGAGAUCUGGAGGAAUACCGAUGGCGAAGGCAGCCAUCUGGCCUAACACUGACGCUGAGGUACGAAAGCAUGGGGAGCAAACAGGAUUAGAUACCCGUGUAGUCCCUGUCUCUUAUACA
rnacentral:rRNA from 1 species